rnacentral:rRNA from 1 species
GCCCUGGGUUAGUCGGGACCUAAGCUGAGGCCGAAAGGCGUAGGUGAUGGACAACAGGUUGAUAUUCCUGUACUACCGAUAACCGUUUGAGAGAAGGGAUGACACAGUAGGAUAAGCUAAGCACACUGUUGGUUAUGUGUGCCCAAGCAUUGAGGCAGUCAAAGUAGGCAAAUCCGCUUUGAUAAUGCUGGGAUGUGAUGGGGAGCGAAAUUUAGUAGCGAAGUAGCUGAUUUCACACUGUCAAGAAAAGUCUCUAUCGAGGUUAAAGGUACCCGUACCGCAAACCGACACAGGUGGGUGAGGAGAGUAUCCUAAGGCCAGCGAGAGAACUGUUGUUAAGGAACUCGGCAAAAUGACCCCGUAACUUAGGGAUAAGGGGUGCCACCAUCAGGUGGCCGCAGAGAAUAGGCCCAAGCGACUGUUUACCAAAAACAUAGGUUUCUGCUAAGUCGCAAGACGAUGUAUAGGAGCUGACGCCUGCCCGGUGCUGGAAGGUUAAGGGGAUCUGUUAGAGUAAUCGAAGCAGUGAACUUAAGCCCCAGUAAACGGCGGCCGUAACUAUAACGGUCCUAAGGUAGCGAAAUUCCUUGUCGGGUAAGUUCCGACCCGCACGAAAGGCGUAACGAUUUGGGCACUGUCUCAACAACAGACUCGGUGAAAUUGUAAUUCCGGUGAAGAUGCCGGAUACCUGCGACAGGACGGAAAGACCCCAUGGAGCUUUACUGUAGCUUGACAUUGGGUCUUGGUACUACAUGUACAGGAUAGGUGGGAGGCUUUGAAACCAGGACGCCAGUUUUGGCGGAGCCAUCCUUGGGAUACCACCCUUGUAGUACUGGGACUCUAACCAUAGGCCAUGAAUCUGGUCUUGGGACACUGUCAGGUGGGCAGUUUGACUGGGGCGGUCGCCUCCCAAAAGGUAACGGAGGCGCUCAAAGGUUCUCUCAGUACGGUCGGAAAUCGUACGUAGAGUGUAAAGGCAAAAGAGAGCUUGAUUGCAAGACAUACAGGUCGAGCAAGGAUGAAAAUCGGACUUAGUGAUCCGGUGGUUCUGCGUGGAAGGGCCAUCGCUCAACGGAUAAAAGCUACCCUGGGGAUAACAGGCUUAUCUCCCCCAAGAGUCCACAUCGACGGGGAGGUUUGGCACCUCGAUGUCGGCUCAUCACAUCCUGGGGCUGUAGUAGGUCCCAAGGGUUGGGCUGUUCGCCCAUUAAAGUGGUACGCGAGCUGGGUUCAGAACGUCGUGAGACAGUUCGGUCCCUAUCCGUCGCAGGCGUAGGAAAUUUGAGAAGACCUGUCCUUAGUACGAGAGGACCGGGAUGGACG